GCGGUCGCUCCCCCUCGGGCGAUGCGCUCCGGAGUUUGGCAUCCGGGUUGGAGUAGACCCGUAAGGACGGUCCUAGCGGGUGAGUUCCUGCGAUGAUGGACUUAAUGUGAAGCAAGUUAAUGUGGCGAAACCUACGGGUUAGCCAAAAAGAAUCAUGAAUUGAAAAGUGGAUCUUGUAUACAUUAUGAAUUGACUCAAGACCGAGUCGAGUGGCAUAGUUGGCUAAGGUAAAUGUAACCUUAGGAAAGAAUGAUAAUUGAGAGAGACUUGUUAAUGUUAUAAAGAAUGGCAAAUGUGUAUGAUGAGCCUAAGGCGCGAGUGCCCUUAGUAAAGUAUAAAGAACAAAGAAUAAAGAAUAAAGAAUAAAGAAUAAAGAAUAAAGAUUAAAGAAUAAAGAAUGGCUAAUGAUAAAGAAUUGCAUAUUCUAAAGAAAGGCUAAUGGUAAAGAAUGACUAAGAGUUGCAUAAUUUGCAUAUUUGUGAGGCAUGAACAUGUAUUGCAUGAUGUUAUAUGUAUAUAUAUCUGUUGGACUAACAUGUUGCAGUGCCUCCUUUAGACCUGGUGGGUUGAGCUUUUCACUUGGGUGGUUGUACCCACUGACGACUAUGGACAAUAGUCUCACCCCCAUGUUGUUGUUUUUGGGGGUACAGGUUCACACGCGAGCGGCGCGGCGGCGCGAGGAAAGGGCGUAGCUCCGUAGUUAGCGCCCUACCACAGAGACCAGAUAGCAGCACCCUGAGUCGGUUUCUUAGGGGUAUAAGAAAAGAAAAGAAAAGAAUCGAUAUUGUAAUAAUAUGUUUAGAAAUCGAUUGUAUAUUUGGAAGUUGAGGAUCAAUGUAAUGAAAAAUGCGAUGUAAAAUGAUGUGAUGAAUGAUUGUAAUAACAUAGGAUGUGUUAUGUUUUUUGAUACCUUCCUUAUGCAAUCGUUGUUGAAAAUUGUUCCUGUUUGGAACCCCUUGUACUUGUAUUGAUUGCGACGCCUUGAACGUACAGGGGAGACUCUGUCCGCGUGCAGAGGAAACCCUGUCCGUUCGGCGGUCUGUUGGCGUGCCCGAAUCCGACCAAAGAGGCGGGCUCGGGGCGUGACAAUCCAUAUUGGGACAAAAUGAUCCAUAGUGUCAUAAAGAGGCACUUGGCCGAGAGAAUUAUUAAACUGCAACAUAGAGGCUUGAUAAUAGGUCACGUUGACAUCAACUAUAUUCCAUAUUUAAGAUAUGAUGAAAUAGUGACUUGGCCACGAUGACAUUUAUUAUAUUCCAUGUUUGAGACAUGACGACCUAGAGAUAGGCCUAUGAGAUUGGUGACAUAUUCCAUGUUAUUAGACAUGAGGACUUGGUACUUGUGACAGAUCGUUUGACUACUUGCCAUUGUGCUCAUUCGCACAUGCUUGUGAGGGUCGCUCCCUACAAGCCGGCACUCCGGAGAUAGCCAUCGCGAUUCAUAUUCGCCGUGCGGGAUUGGGCGCCGAAGUGGAUUGCCGUGGGCCAUGCUCAUUCCUAGGGUGGGGAUGAUGACUACCACGGGGCCAUUAGGCUCGGCACCGGCCAGACAGCCUACGGGUGGGUCUCAGGGCCUCAGAUAGCCUUCGGGUGGGUCUCUUCAGAUUUGACUUCGAGUAUUCAUGAUAACUUAGUGUACUACUUGGACAUUGACUAGAAUAGUAAACAACGGGACUUUACUAUUUCGCAUUGUGGACAUUAUGAUAGUUGGAGACUUUUACUUCAUGCAUAGUUGCUUUCAUACUUAUGCUAUUUAUACUAAGUAGAGAUAUCAUGUUGUAGUAAGUUACAUUUUUACUUGCCUUUCGCUUUCCUACAUUUAUAGUCACUGACAUCUAUUGUAGCUUUGGGCCUUGUGGUGCAUUCACUGAAGUCAGUAAUUUCCCACUGGGAACUAUUUUUGAUAGUUCUCACGCCCCUGUUUUAUGGUUUACUUUUCAGAGCCUUCGGCACCGGCGGAGGCACGGGAUCGCGGCAAGGGAAUCGCUUAGCUAGCUAGCGAGGAGCGGUUCUUUGCCUAGGUGGUUUGCUCUUUCUUUUUGUAGUUGGGAGAGUGAGAGAUUUUGUAUCCAUGUGUAGAGACCACCUAUGUACCUACUUUUAGCACUUGUAUUUGGGAUUUUCUAUUGUAUUUACUUUAUGUUUUAUUUAGUGAAUUUACAGCUUUAUCCUUAUCCCUGGUUGUAGCAUUUAGACAUUUAUUAUGCUCUGAUACUCCUAGAUGCCUCUUAUUAUUGCUUUUAUUACUGUUGUUUUUAGACGCCUUAUAUGUUUUAGACGUAUGACGGGUCUGGGCACGUGCCGGCCGGGCUUCCGCUGGGUCCCGGGACGUGACAAACGGUGACGGUCGCAGCUUGUAGACAGACAGCUCUCUGUUCGAGCUUGCGCAAGAAGGAGCCUAGCGGUCGCGGUGGCCUCGACGGCACUCCGGGUUGCUGGGGGGAGGGUCGCCGAAGGUGGGGCGACGCAUGGAGGGCCUGAGGGAGUGGCACAGCCCUCUAUGCAAGUCGGGUCACAGAGAUGAAGAGAGAAAGGGAGAAGAAAAUUGAGGAAGUGGGAAAGAGAGGGAGUUUGGGUGGCCGGAAAAAGGGUUAUUAGCGGCUGGCGACGGCGCGCGACAUGCACAGGGAGGAGGGGAAACGGCUGUGAGUGGGAGAGGUUGAGGGGCUAGGGUUUGUAGGAAGUAGAGAAGAGAAACUAGGAUUUUCUCUUUUGAUCACUUUGAAAAAAUUACAAAAAAAACCACAAAAAUCUAAAAAUUUUACCCCGGUCCCUCACAGCAUACGUAAAUUGCACAGAGGCACCCUCACGUGCGAAAUCGCAUGAUUUGGCACAUAAAAUGUUGGAGGAUUUUUCAGAAUUCAAAUUUUCCUAUUUGACCCCUUCUCAGUUAUUGUGCAAUUGCAGUAAAUUCGUCCAUCAGAUUUACAAACAGAUUAUGCCGGCACGUUCAGUACUUCUGGACCUUCGAGAUCACAAUUUUGUUUCAUGGGAUUUGGUUGCGGAUUCGCAAAGAUUUGAUCCCCUUUUUUUCUCUCACAUAUAUAGCAAUAUAUAUAUAGAAUUUCGAUUUGAAAUAGGAAUUCAAAUUGAAAUUUUGAAUUCCUUAAAUUAUAAAUAUCCCACAUAUUACAUUAUCCCUCCCUUACAAAAAGUUUCAUCCCCGAUGAUCUAUUUCCACUUCCACAUAAGCCUGUGGUCCUCUAUCGCUCAAGUACACUGGAUGGAUGUGUUAUUUAAGCGUGAUCCCCUUACUUUGGUCAGCAGAUGAUGUACCUGUCUCUGAAAAGUAAACCACAAAAGAGCAUGAGAGCUACUACAAAGCAGUUCCCAGUGGAUAUGGUCAAUGACAACCACGACCUUCCCACUAGGUCUACUAUAGAGGUCAAAAUAGUGAAAGAAUAGUGAAAGAAUAGUAAAAUAUGCUAUAAAUGCAUAACUGAAUAUAAUCUAAGCAGAUAUAUCUACUGAGACUGAACUAUCAUGCCUUAGUACAUAUAGUGAAAAGGAAGGAAAGAAGGUGACUAGUGCAUGCAUCAAUGCUAAUAGUAAUAAACAAAUAUUGUAAUAGUACCCAAUCGCAACGACCAACUCAUAGGUCUGCUCAAGCGCCUGCCUAGUGCGCGGACACACUCCCAGGUAUGACGGCAACACCUAGGCUAUUGUCCCUACUAUAUUGGCCAGCAUCCGUAGCGGCACUCAAGGGGAGCGACCUCUACCUAUUAUCAUAGCGUGUAUCACUGUCGAUCUCAAUAUGGCCUUGCAAGCUACAGUCUUUGUGAUGAUAAAAAAGAUCACAAGCACCCAAUCUAAUGCCCUCAAUAUAAUCAUAGAGUAAUCUCUAAGUUAGAUGUCACAAUAGAAUAUUCAUAUUCUCUCUCUAUGUCCAAAACAUCUACACACUACCGCCGUGCUACCCACGGCCUCUGUCACAUAAUUUAUGGCAUGUACAAUAAAAAUAGGUAAAAAAAAUACAAUGACUCACCAUCAUGCAUAAGAUGUCAAAUGGCCUCCCAAGACCUAAGCUAGAAUAUCCAAUAUGAGAUAUUGAUAACAAUUCACCAUAUCACGACUAUUAUACUCAUGAUUCACACAGUAUGGCCUAAAUUAGUAUCACUAUAUGAAUAAAUUGAAAUCCAUACUUUCUACUCAAUUUUAUGUGAAUAUACCCUUUAGCAAUCUAUAUGACCAUAUACAUAUUCAUAUGCAUGCAAAUAGACAUCGAAGAAAAUUCGUUAUUUUUGACGACUCGGAACCCACCUCGGAUUGCUAAUACAAUAGCGGCAAGUAAUUAGCCUCCAAUGCACCACUCCUUGGCUCACGUUCCACAGGGAUCCACUGGGAAGCCUAAAAUCAGCGAGCGUACUACAAACGCAAAGAGAGAAGUAAAGUCCAUUAAUUUAGCGAUUCGGUUACAAAAGGCUGGAUUUUGUCAUGGACAAGUCAACUUAUCUAAAAAUCCAGUGGAAGUAGCUCAGAAUAAUAAAGAUGGAGGAACGCGACCAAGAUCCAGUGAUACUCCACUGAAAGAAACAAACGACGAAAUAAAUGAAAUAUUUACAAUUUUCCAAAAUCAACUAAUAACCUCUAUUUAUCUCAUUUACUCUAAUUCACCUCAAUUGUAUUCCAAUUAACUUCCAUUUUCCAUUGUAAUACAGUGUAUAUUGAACUCCCCUACAUCCCCCUCUCACCACCGACCACCAAUUUCAACAUUAGAGGCGCAUAAUUCCAAAAUCGAGUCCUUUUCUGCUUCCUCCCCCCUCCCCGCCGGCCUACGACUACCCUGCAGCCAGCAGCUGCUGGUGCUGCUGCUAUCAGCAGCAUUUGCUACUACUGGUGAUACAACCAGCAGCUGCUGCAGGUGCAACAGCUGCUGUACGUAGGUGCAGCACCUCCAACUGGCUGCCGGCAGCUGCUACUCUACAGCAAGCCGUCGAGGGAGGAAUAGAAAAAGAAAAGGGGGAGAAAGAAAAGAGAAAAAUGAGGAGAAGAAGAAGAAGUAAAAGAAACUAUAAAGACCUGGCAAUGAAGCGCCUAUGAAAAUUUGAUGCAUGCGCAAGAUCGAUCGGAUCGUCGUGUAGGUCAAAAUCCUCAAAUCCCCUCUCUUCACUUCUCUUUUUCCUCUUCUCUCUCUCUCUCUCUCUCUCUCUCUCUCUCUGGUACCAGGUUAAGGAGAGGGAGCAGAUAAGGAUGAAGAGAGGAACCACCAUAGGACUUAGUGGAAUUCCAAAUUAAAAGAGUAUUUAGAUUUUACUCCUCACUUGAUGGAAAUUUGUGUUUAAGACUUUAUUUGUGGCCUUCAUCUAUCCAAUAUCAUUAAAGGGUGAACCCUUAACCCCUUUGCUGCGUUCUCCGUGAUUUCGGGUCUCUCCCUUAACCCAUAUCCUGCGUUCUCCGCGAUUUCGGACCUCCCGCACACAGUGCUCUCUCUGAGAUUUGGGGCCCUACUCUCUCUUACCCUCUUUCCUUUUCUCUCUCUGAGAUGUGGGGCCCUAUUCUUCUCCGCACGUUAUGGUCUCCUACGAUACCACUCUCCCUUACCCUCUCUCCUUCUCAACGAACCCUAACCCUCUCUCCCUUUCUUUUCUCGCCGCCUCUGCAGAUUUUUGGGGAUUCCUCUGCCCCUCUCAACAAACCCUAGGUUCACCUAGGGUUGGUAAUUCGGCGCCGCCUCUAUAGAUUUCCCGGGAUUCCUCUCUCUCUCUCAACAAACCCUAGGUUCACCUAGGGUUGGUAAUUCGGCGCCGCCUCUAUAGAUUUCCCGGGAUUCCUCUCUCUCUCUCAACAAACCCUAGGUUCGCCUAAGGUUGGUACUCCGGCGCAUUUAAUGCCGCCGCGGGAAAGUCCCUUCCCGGCUCCCCGGAACUCCCUUCUUCUCCCCCGUAUCCCGCCGCCGUACGCCUGUAUCUACCAAAGAUCUGGCCAUUUAAUGCCGCCGCUUCGCCGGUUAGGGCUUCCUCCCCUGUCGUACGCCCUGCCUUGCCGGAGAUCGGGGCAUUUAAUGACCCGUUUCUCCGGAGAUGGUACGCCUGUAUCUACCACAAAUCUCUGCAAUUAAUGUUGCCGUGACAGUGCGCCGCUCGGCGGCGGCGUGUUCUCUUACUGUCCUCGCUCUUCCUUGGCUUUGUUCUGGUACUGGUAUGUAUAUAUAUACACCAUUGAGAGGUAAGGUGCCAUGUCCAAUUGCUUCUGAACUUCCAACUCUUACCUGCCAUCUGUAUUACUCUUAUUUUUGUCACUGCCUGUGGAAAGUAGGUCGGGCUCUCUGCAAGAUCCUCUGCUUACUUCUUAUAUUAUGAUGCUGCGUACCUAUGUAUAUGUUUGAAAUUCUUGGUGCUCGGAUGCUUCAAUGUCUGGUGGUGGUUUUCCAUAGGGUUCCUGUUGCCCCCGCAAUUCCAGAUCUGAUGCUUCUUUGCCUUGAGAUUCUUUUCACCUGGGUCUUGCUUGGAUUUCGAGCUUUGAAAAAAAAUACCUUCAGUUUCUUUGGUUUUUUUUUUCGUUGUCGCCUCCGCGGAUCUGAUGAUUUCUUGCCUUGCGAUUCUUUUCAGUUGGGCUUUUCAGCUCUAAGCUUAUUCUAAUGAUUUUGGCAUUUCAGCUCUAAGCUGCCCGUUUGCUACAAUUCUAUUAUUUUCUCUUCUCUAAGUUACCUGUUGGCUAUUUGUGCUUUAUGUAUUGAAUGCUUCUUUGUAGAACCAGCUUUCCAUAUCAUGUAUUACUUAAAAGAUUUUGCUAGAACUAACUUUAUACACCAUGUAUUACUUAAGAGAUUUAAUGUAUGAUCUCUUUUCUGCAUCUAUUGCUUAUUCUAAGUAUUGUUUUCGAGAAGUUGAUGAGGUCAGGAGAUACUUAGAUUGUCGAUAUAAUUACUUCUUUAUCUAUUUUACUAAUAAAAUUUAAUUUACAUAUUUGUUUCUAUCAUUGACAAAGAAUUCAUGCUCGGUCUAUUUUUUAAUUUUUAUUUUUUUUACCAGAUGUGCCUUUUAUCUUCGAUUUUGCUUUUUUUUCUCUUUUUUCGUUUAAAUGUUUCCCUGUUGCUUUCGGUGCUCCUUUAAGCGAGGCAAUGAUGAUAUGCUCUGUUGGAUUUGCCCCCGCAUGUUGCCUUUCCUAUUGAAUUUGGCCGCAAUGGCAUGGCAUCAAAUGAACUCAUGGUAUUUGCUGCAGCCAGCCUCUAUUAUUGCGGAUUUCCUAGACACAUAAUAUUCAGCUUGCCUCUUUACCUAACGGAAAGAAUAAAACUGAUCCAGAUUUAUCUUACCCCUUUGCUUGGCAUGGCAUCGAAUGAUUUUAUGGUAUUUGUUGCAGCAUGUGGCUAUUCUUUCAAAUUUUCUAUGCACACGGUGUUUAUCUUGCCCCUUUACUUUAGGGGAAGAGUGAAAAUAAUCCGUGUUUAUCUUACCCCUUCACUUUAGGGGAAGAAUGAAGUUGAGCCUCGCAUUGAUUUUUUGCUCUUUGUUUGUUCCGAAUAUUAUUUUCUGGAAUUAUCGUGCCCUUUUAACUGAGCAUUGCAUGAAUUUGUUGUAUUCUUAUUCCGUUGUUUUUCUUCCUUCGCUCUGUAUUUGCUUUCUUGGGUUUUUCCGAUUUUCGCUUUGGUUUUCUUGCUUUGAUACCUGAAACAACAAUCCAAAUGAAAUACACAUAUAUUUUUUCCUCUUCUUUCAUUUCAGGAAUAAUUCUGUCUACUUUUUAUACUCUCGGUUAUUUACUUUCUCAUCUUUUUUUUCGCAGAUUUAAUUUUGCCAUACUCGCAUCGGAACUCUGCUGUUCACCUCCAGAUUCAGCAAGGCAUGCAAAUUGAGUAGGGAACUCAUGUGAAUCGUUUUAAUUCUGAUAUUAAUUCUACUCUUUUCUGCAGAUUUUUUUCCGGCAUCGUCAAACUUGCUGCUCUACUGAUCAACUAUAGGCACAUAGCAAGCUACUUGCUUUUAUUCUCCUGUGUUUUUAUUCUUGCUUGGACAAUGCAAUUUUUAACUCAGUGUUCUUUACUCGCAGAUUAACACUGUUGGACUUUUGCUGCUUGGAAUAAGAUUAUACUCUACCGUUCACCUCCAGUUGCUGGAUACUUUGCUGUUCACCUCCAGUUGCAAGACAAGUUGGGUAGUCCUUUUACUCUUACCUCGAUGCAAUAAUAUUCAUCAGGUUUCUUAAAGAUAAAUUAGAAGUAACUUCUGAUGUGGAACAGCCAAGAAGAAAGCGCCUUAGGUAAUUCUGUUAUACUUAUGAUAUAUAGUGCACAAGUCCAUAACUAAUAUUUUUUCAUACAUUAAACUUACAGGUUUGCAGAAGAUGGUGGCCAGGGCAGUAGCAACAUUGAAUAAAACUUUUGGACCU
rnacentral:lncRNA from 1 species